GGUUGAUCCUGCCGGACCCCACUGCUAUCGGGAUAGGACUAAGACAUGCUAGUCGUGUGCCUCAGCCAAAACGAGGCACGGCGUACAGCUCAGUAACACGUGGCUAACCUGCCCUUGGGACGAUGAUAACCCCGGGAAACUGGGGCUAAUCCUCGAUAGGUGAAGAACUCUGGAAUGAGUCUUUACCUAAAAGAGUCUGCGUUAUGCUCGUAGAUUUCGCCCAAGGAUGGGGCCGCGACCGAUCAGGUUGUUGGUGAGGUAAUGGCUCACCAAGCCUUUUACCGGUGCGGGC
rnacentral:rRNA from 1 species